GUGGGGAUAGCAAAACCUGGUCAGGACUGUCCUCCAGUUUGCCCGGGACCAGGGUUAUGGUGAAGGCGCUGAGACAAGUAUGAUGCAGCGCAGUGCUCUGGCCCUCUACCAGGGCAUGGGCUUCCGAAAGACAGGCCAUUAUUUUUUAAAUAUAAUCUGGAGGCUAACAAGUAUUCCUAUAUUUCAUUUAUUGUACCAAUUCCCUUCUGCUCAGGAUGGGGGCCUGUGAUCUAUUUCUUUUGUAUUAACAAAAACCUGAUUGAGUCGGCUAUAGUCACAUACUAUGAUAUUUCUGUCUUACAAAGCAUAAAAUCUAAUUGUCCCCACCUGAGUCUGGCAUGUUUGAUGGUAGUUUGCAUGCAGUUGCAGCUCUUCUCCAUUCUGUCUUUGUGGAUUGCCUUGCCUCAUGUUUCUAGUGUCAUGAUAAUGUUGCUUUUAAAGCAACCACAUCACAAUACUAGACACACUUUGUGGGCCAGCAGUUUCUGCUAGGUUUGUCUUGUACCUUGCUGGUCUUAGGACAUCUGCAAAUGUCUUGGGUUGGCUGAAGUGCUGGGGAUGUGGGCAUCAUCCUGUACCACCUGUCUAACUGAGACAAGGUUCAAGGUCCUGAAGAAGAGUCAAAGCAACCCUAGAAAAGAAGCCAGGCUUUUCCAAACCCUGUCUCUAACUCUAGCUACAGCUACAGGGCAAGGGCUUGAGAUUCAGCCCUGUGAAAAGACUUGGGCAGCAAAGUGCUGCAUCUUCUCUAGUCCCCCAGUGGGCAUGCAGAAGGAAGAAGGCAGAUAGGGUUGCAGUAGAGGAUGUUUUCACCAAGAGACCUCGGUGCAUUUGACCCUCAACUGACUGGACCCAGCUGGAUAAUCAAAGUAGGGUGUGUUCCUGUGUGUACAGGAAGAGGGGAUGUUGAGGAAGUGACUGCCCCAGAUCUGACACUAUUGGGACCCAGAUUGGAACCAACCCUGUCCCCAAAGGUUCCACUACACUAGAAUCAUAGCUGCCUUGUCCUGACCAUGUCCUCCCGGAAGCCCCAGAAGAAGGGUGAGUGGGGAUGUGGGUCUGCGCUGAUUUUUACAGGACUGUCUAUGUUCCCAGCUACUUCAUCUCUAACACUAUCAUGCCUGUGGGAGUCUGGAGUUUCUUUCUGAGACCCCCAAUCCCACAGGCUGAUCUUCUGCAGAAAGCAUGAGUCCAACCACACCUCAGCCAAGUUCUUUUAACAUGAAAGCAGUGCUGUAGAUUCUCUCCUAACCUGAUGUAACUUCCUCUCUACUCAAGAGUCAGUGGGAGGACACCAUAAACAAUCACCCCAGCUGACCCUGCCACAGCCCAUUGCACCUACAUGGAGACUCUUAACCACACUCAUGGCAAGAUUCCAAAUGCAAUUUAUUUGUUGCUUAGGACCAAGGACUUCAGCCCCCGUCCCCCAAUCCUGGUCAGCUUGACCUUGGCCUUGAUGUCACCCACAAUCAAGUCUGCCAACCCAUCUCCUCCUUCAGGUUGCCUCCCUGUGCUUCUCUGAACUCAGUCGUUCGGGCAUCUAUCCCACUCCCCCACCAUGCCCCUUCACAGUCGGGGUCUGUUGUCUCCUGAGCUGUCCUGUUAUCUUCUCCUUUAGUGGUGAUGCCCUUAUGACAGGCUAUUGAGAUGGAAGAAGAAAGCCAUAGAGCAUCCUCUAUUUUUUGGUGCUUCCAGUUCUCCAUGCUCAGCAAGGCCAUUACCUCAGGAACAGCUCUGAGUGGGCACAUUGCCAUGGUGGGAAAUGAAAGAGGCCAGGAUGGUUCCUUUGCUUUUGAAGGAGCUUUCAGAGAAAUGGUUAGCAGAGAAAUGGUUUUCCUAACCUCUCACACAUGUGGUCAGGCCCUGCUGGGAUUAGGAGCCAGAGAGGCAGAGAAGCCAAAGAAGAGCCAGCUUGGAAAUUCUUUUACAGUGAUGUUAAUGGGGGCAUCCUGCCCAGGGAGAAAGGGCCCCCCCCCAGUGGUGGAGGCUCCCACCAGCUACUGUUCCUCUGCUUUUAGAACCCACAUGCAGUCCUGCAGCCUGGCUCACUCCUUCUGUAGCCCCUACCUCUCCCCACCUCUGCCAGGUGCUCAUUACCCUCUAUUCUGCUGGAUGUCUUCAAGACCUUUGUUUUUUUGAUCUUGAAUAGUCUCCUCCUUCCAUCCAUAACAUUGUGAACCCAGAAAUUAUAUUUAUCAGGAGAAGAGCAGGGAGGAACGAGUUAGAAAGAUAACCAUGAGCAGGGAGCAAGCCCUGCCUCCUGCUUGUAUUUUCAGUGUUGCUGAAAUUUAGUCCUUUGCAACUCAUAUCAUCUGCACACCAGUUUUCCUGUUGCCCACAUGCCUGUUACAGUCAAGAGUGAACACUGAACUUUAUACCUAAAGAGUAAUAUUAGCAAAGAUUAAUCCUGGACUGUGUACUCCCACAAGCAUCUUGGCAGCCAGCUCCAAGAAGGAAGAGAUUGGCAGUAGUGUCAUGGGCCAGUUGCAUAACAGGGGAGAAAGGGGUCUGCUACUCUCACUGGCUCCUCCCUGCUGAACCUCGUGGAGCAAAUGCACAACUGACCAUUGGGGCUGUUGCAUUUCUUCCUGAAAGACUCGGGGGAGGGGCUCAAAUCUGUGCCAGCCCACACCCUGUAUCUGGCCUUGGGGGAAGGGCCUGACUGGUAAAGAGGAGGGCAAGGGCUAGAGGAAUAUCAAGGGAACAUCACAAAGUAGAACUCCAUAUGACAAGGAAGAAUUUGUGCCUUGAGACACAAGUCCAUAGAAAAAACAAGUUAUCCAGAUCGCUUGGGCAUCACCAGGGUUUGGGGAGAUGUGGAAAUAGGGAAUGAUAGCUGUGUGGGGAUCAGCUUUCUCUUGGGCUUAUGAAAGUGUUUUAGGACAACAUAGAGAGUGCUGGUCAACCUUGUGAAUGUACCGAAUGCUGCAGGCCAUGUGAG
rnacentral:lncRNA from 1 species